GUCAGCAAGCGACCGCGCUGGGCCGUUUCUCUUUCUUUUCAGGACCCAGCAGUGGCGCCUAAAGUCUGCACGGAGAAAAUCGCCUGUGUGCUGAGCAUGGGAACCUACAAGGCCUGGAUCAACACCUAGUUGGGACAGGAGACCACCAGGGCAGUGCACAACUGGGAUUUCAGUCUCUCGUGUCAUCUCCUGGUUCCACUGGUGCCACUGAGGGCAGCUAGACUCUGCAGCCAGGCGGCCUGGAUUCAACUCCCUACCUGGGUCUCACCAGCAUUUUCCCUCUUGGUGCCUUAGUUUCCUCAUCUAUGAAAUAGGGAAACUAACAGCAUUUAUUUAUUGUGGUUGGAUGAAUGAAAAGGGUUAGUAUAUAUGAAGUGUUUGCAGCUGUGCCAUAUUAUUUUUGUUAUUUUAUUAUAUUUUGAUAUAUUACAUAUGCUGUAAUUGCAUUAUUAUAGGUGACCUUUAUGAGUGAGUGUCCUGGUGACGGCUCUUCCUGGGGAGCCCAGGACCAGCUUCCCUGGCACCUUGAGGUCCUAUCACCCCUGUUACACUCUCACCCCAUUCUACUCUGUCUUCAUAUUUUAUGCUAUUGAUAUUUAGUUCUUAAACAGACAUUUCUGGUCUGUGUUUUAAUUCAAGUGUCUGGGAAGGGAUAGAGUGUGAGGUUCAGGAGAGAAGGAGAGGUCUGUCUUGAUGCCUUGACACAGCACAGAGAAAUCUCCCCCCCGCCCACAUCGCUCUGUCAGUUCUCAGUGAGGGACAGAUUCACAGCAACUUAUACAAUUAUAAGUUGGAAGAAUGAGGGAAAGAGAGAGAGAGAGAGAGAGAGAGAGAAAGCUGAACUGGAAUAGGUUAGGGGUUGUGUCCCACUAGGAACCAUAAUUGAUCUUUGCCAUUUUGAAAGUGUGUCCCCUGAGCUGCCUUCAGAGAGUUCAGGAGGGAAACCUGUUUUCACAGAAAUACCAAGAUGCCAUCUGCCUGUUUCAUUAUGUUGACUUUUCCAUUAAUGCUGCAAAUGCCAAGGUAGGUAACACACCCAGCACCUUAGCAGAACCAAGGCAGUGGCUCCAAACUGCAUUCCCACUUAAGAAUCUUUUUGAUGGAGAAGGAAAAAAAUUUAUGUUCAUUAAAUUUUAAUCCUUGAGUACAUGUCUUUAAUAUUUUUGUGAGAAAAUGGGAAAUAUGCAUAAAACACUUACUGCACAGAGAAGCAGGAUGGUAGCCUUGAGAAAGGGCACUUGUGUGACUCAGUUAUGAGUUCAACCAGCAGAUCUCAUUCACCCACAGAAAGACAAUGGCAUUAUUUCCAGUUUGGGGGUAUUAUGAAUAAAGCUGCAAGAGUAUUUGUGUACAGGUAUUUUGUGAAUACAAAGUUUUCCCUUGUUUGAAAUAAGUGCCUAGUAGGGCAAUUGCUAGUCAUAAGGUAAACUGCAUGUUCAGUUUGAAGAAAACUGCAAUAUCCAUUUCCAGAGUGGCUGUACCAUUUUAAAAUACAUUCCUACCAGCAAUAUAAGAGUGACCCAGUUUUUCUGCAUCCUUGCCAGCAUCUGUUGCUACCUUUAUUUUGUAUUUCAGCCAUUCCUAUCAUUGUGGAUUUAAUUUGUGUUCUCUUACUGGAUAAUUAUGUUGAGUGUCUAUUCCUCUGCUUGUUAGCCCAGUGUUUAUCCUCUUUAGUGAAACGUCUGAUUGUGUCUUGCUCAUUGCCUAUUGUGUAUUUGGAUUUCAUUUUUACUGUCGAGUUUUUAAAUUUCUCCAUAUAUUCUGAAUAUAGUCUUUACAGAAUAUGUUGUCUGUAAAUAUCUUCUCUCGUUCUGUAGCUUGUCUUUUUAGCUCUUCACAGGUCUCUCACAGAGCAACAGUUUUUAGUUUUGAUAAGAUCCAAUUUGUUAAUUUUUUCUUUGAUGGAUCAUGCUUUUAGUGUUAUGUCUAAGAACUGUUUGUCCAGUCUUAGUUCUGAUGAUUUUUUCUUAAAAGAUUUGCAAUUUUAAAUUUUAAAUUUAUUU